GGCCUGAUGGUCUAGUAGUAUGAUUCCUUGUUAGGGUGUUGUAAUUGCCAGUCGAGGAGGUCCCGGGUUCAAUUCCCGGUCAGGCCC